rnacentral:rRNA from 1 species
CACGUAAACAACCUGCCUUCAGGAUGGGGACAACAGACGGAAACGACUGCUAAUACCGAAUAAGUUCCAAGAGCCGCAUGGCCCAUGGAAGAAAAGGUGGCCUCUACCUGUAAGCUAUCGCCUGAAGAGGGGUUUGCGUCUGAUUAGCUGGUUGGAGGGGUAACGGCCCACCAAGGCGACGAUCAGUAGCCGGUCUGAGAGGAUGAACGGCCACACUGGAACUGAGGCACGGUCCAG